rnacentral:rRNA from 1 species
CAGUAGCCGCGGUAACACGUAGGUGGCAAGCGUUGUCCGGAAUUAUUGGGCGUAAAGGGCUCGCAGGCGGUUUCUUAAGUCUGAUGUGAAAGCCCCCGGCUCAACCGGGGAGGGUCAUUGGAAACUGGGAAACUUGAGCGCAGAAGAGGAGAGUGGAAUUCCACGUGUAGCGGUGAAAUGCGUAGAGAUGUGGAGGAACACCAGUGGCGAAGGCGACUCUCUGGUCUGUAACUGACGCUGAGGAGCGAAAGCGUGGGGAGCGAACAGGAUUAGAGACCCCUGUAGUCCCUGUCUCUUAUAC